UCCGUAGGUGAACCUGCGGAAGGAUCAUUAUAAAAAAUUCGGGCUUGGGUUUAACCCAAGACCUGCCCCCAAAAGGGACCUUUUGUGCACUGUAAAAUUUUUUCACUUAAGCUUUGUCUGAUUGAUAUUUGUACCGAAAGGGACAAGAAUUUUAAUCUAAAACAACUUUUAACAAUGGAUCUCUUGGCUCUCGCAUCGAUGAAGAACGCAGCGAAAUGCGAUAAGUAAUGUGAAUUGCAGAAUUCAGUGAAUCAUCGAAUCUUUGAACGCAUAUUGCGCUCUCCGGCAUUCCGGAGAGCAUGCCUGUUUGAGUAUUGGCCUAAAUGAGAGUCUUCCUUUAAAGAUAUAAAAAAGAACGUCAAGAACCCUCAGUUGAGACUUCUCGACAAUUCAUUGCCGAGUGUUUUAAAAUGCAAUAGUACCGCCACGUUUGCGAACUUGGAGUAAUAUGUGAGCCUGAAAAGGUGACCUCUAUUCUCCUCGGACCAUGUAGACUUGUUAAGCGGGAAGUUUUUGAAUGCCGAAUUAUGGGAGACGGUGUUCAAUUGUUCGAGUAACGACGAACGAAAUAAACUCAAUCUCAAAUCAGGUAGGAUUACCCGCUGAACUUAAGCAUAUCAAUAAGCGGAGGA
rnacentral:rRNA from 1 species